CAGGAAGCCUGCCUCUGCACCCUGGCUGCACCGCUGAACGGGGGCUGCCGGAGUGACAAGCAUAAUAUGGCAUCAGUGUGAUAUGGAAGUGACUGAGAAGCACUCAGCAGGAGAUUGUUUUGAGAAGAAUCAUGUCUCAGUACAGGCUGGCCAGCGUGGGGCGCUCUACCACACAUAUGGAUACUGGGAAUUCUCUCGAUCAUUGCCCUUUUCAAAGGGACCUUGCCUUCAUGUUGCACAAGUCAUUGAGCAAGGAGAGAUGGGGAGCAAUAAAGUCCAGCAUCUCACCUCCGGAGACUCAACAACUACCUUUUGUAUUAGUUCGUUUCUUCCAGGGCUGCAGGGGCUAGAAACUCAAAUACAAUCUAUUCUAUGCCACCUUCUGCUAAGAACUAAACAACAAAUUACACCUUUUGAAAAUAAAAAUGUAAAAUUUAUUUUGGGUCAACUGGAUGUAGAAAGAGGAGGUGUAUUCCCUCCAUUGUCCCUGGGCUUAGUCCCCUAUCAAUCAUGUGACAAUUUACUUUCAUUUCUGGAAAUCAGCAAUAUCAGAAAUGUGGACU